ACAGAUGGAGGACUCCGUACUUUCCCAAGCAAUCCGAGAAACCAAACCGAUUCAGUGCAAGUUUCCUCAACAUGCGUGGUGAAAAUUUUGCGGACCCAAAGCAAUUGCAUAUUUGAUGGAAAUUACUUAGGCAAAUAUUUUCUUGCAUCAGAUGUCAUGUGAUCAUACAAUGUUGGUCUCAGCUACCUCAGACAGAGUACAUGCAACUGUUACAUAUAUAUUGAAGGAUACUCCUUUAAUUAGUUAAUAUGAAAACGGAAGACACAGCAACAAUCAAUAAAAGUUAUGGAUAUAUAGAGUAAAAGAAGCAAAUGAAGUUAAAAAAAAAAAAAAAAGAUUCGGUAAUAAACGGAGGGAAAAUUUUAGAAGAUGAAUUCUAUGCAACCCCCUAGUUGUACAGGGUAGACAUAAAUAAUUAUAUAUAUCCAGAAAUUGGAAAGUGCGGAUUGAGCAGAGAGCUGGUAGACAUAGAAGAAAAAAGGAAAAAGGAAAAAAGCAAAAAGGAAUGCAAUCUAUGAUCAAAACAAGAGAGACAACAAGAACUAACCUUGUAUAACAAAAGCAUAAACAAGAAAAAAAAAAAGCAA
rnacentral:sRNA from 2 species